rnacentral:rRNA from 1 species
CUAGGAAUCUUGCGCAAUGGGCGAAAGCCUGACGCAGCAAUUCCGCGUGGGGGACGAAGGCCCUCGGGUCGUAAACCCCUUUUGUGAGGGAAGAAGUUCUGACGGUACCUCACGAAUAAGACACGGCUAACUACGUGCCAGCAGCCGCGGUAAUACGUAGGUGUCGAGCGUUGUCCGGAUUUAUUGGGCGUAAAGAGCCCGCAGGCGGCUUGGUAAGUUCGAGGUGAAAUCUCCCGGCUCAACUGGGAGGGUGCCUCGAAAACUAUCAGGCUUGAGGCAGGGAGAGGGAUGUGGAAUUCCCGGUGUAGUGGUGAAAUGCGUAGAUAUCGGGAGGAACACCAGUGGCGAAGGCGGCAUCCUGGCCCUGUCCUGACGCUCAGGGGCGAAAGCGUGGGGAGCAAACC